AGAGUUUGAUCCUGGCUCAGAUUGAACGCUGGCGGCAGGCCUAACACAUGCAAGUCGAGCGGAUGACGGGAGCUUGCUCCUUGAUUCAGCGGCGGACGGGUGAGUAAUGCCUAGGAAUCUGCCUGGUAGUGGGGGACAACGUUUCGAAAGGAACGCUAAUACCGCAUACGUCCUACGGGAGAAAGCAGGGGACCUUCGGGCCUUGCGCUAUCAGAUGAGCCUAGGUCGGAUUAGCUAGUUGGUGAGGUAAUGGCUCACCAAGGCGACGAUCCGUAACUGGUCUGAGAGGAUGAUCAGUCACACUGGAACUGAGACACGGUCCAGACUCCUACGGGAGGCAGCAGUGGGGAAUAUUGGACAAUGGGCGAAAGCCUGAUCCAGCCAUGCCGCGUGUGUGAAGAAGGUCUUCGGAUUGUAAAGCACUUUAAGUUGGGAGGAAGGGCAGUAAGCUAAUACCUUGCUGUUUUGACGUUACCGACAGAAUAAGCACCGGCUAACUCUGUGCCAGCAGCCGCGGU
rnacentral:rRNA from 1 species